GACGAACGCUGGCGGCGUGCCUAAUACAUGCAAGUAGAACGCUGAAGGAGGAGCUUGCUUCUCUGGAUGAGUUGCGAACGGGUGAGUAACGCGUAGGUAACCUGCCUGGUAGCGGGGGAUAACUAUUGGAAACGAUAGCUAAUACCGCAUAAUAGUAGCUGUUGCAUGACAUUUGCUUAAAAGUUGCAAUUGCAUCACUACCAGAUGGACCUGCGUUGUAUUAGCUAGUUGGUGAGGUAACGGCUCACCAAGGCAACGAUACAUAGCCGAACGGAGAGGGUGAUCGGCCACACUGGGACUGAGACACGGCCCAGACUCCUACGGGAGGCAGCAGUAGGGAAACUUCGGCAAUGGACGGAAGUCUGACCGAGCAACGCCGAGUGAGGGAAGAAGGUUGUCGGAUCGUAAAGCUCUGUUGUAAGAGAAGAACGAGUGUGAGAGUGGAAAGUUCACACUGUGACGGUAUCUUACCAGAAAGGGACGGCUAACUACGUG
rnacentral:rRNA from 1 species